AUUGAACGCUGGCGGCAUGCUUUACACAUGCAAGUCGAACGGUAACAGGGAGCUUGCUCCGCUGACGAGUGGCGAACGGGUGAGUAAUGCAUCGGAACGUACCCAGUCGUGGGGGAUAACGUAGCGAAAGUUACGCUAAUACCGCAUACGUCCUGAGGGAGAAAGCGGGGGGACCGUAAGGCCUCGCGCGAUUGGAGCGGCCGAUGUCGGAUUAGCUAGUUGGUGGGGUAAAGGCCUACCAAGGCGACGAUCCGUAGCGGGUCUGAGAGGAUGAUCCGCCACACUGGGACUGAGACACGGCCCAGACUCCUACGGGAGGCAGCAGUGGGGAAUUUUGGACAAUGGGGGCAACCCUGAUCCAGCCAUGCCGCGUGAGUGAAGAAGGCC
rnacentral:rRNA from 1 species